CCUACGGGUGGCAGCAGUGAGGAAUAUUGGUCAAUGGGCGCGAGCCUGAACCAGCCAAGUCGCGUGAGGGAAGACGGUCCUAUGGCUUGUAAACCUCUUUUGUCGGGGAGCAAAAGACGCCACGCGUGGCGUUCCGAGAGUACCCGAAGAAAAAGCAUCGGCUAACUCCGUGCCAGCAGCCGCAGUAAUACGGAGGAUGCUAGCGUUAUCCGGAUUUAUUGGGUUUAAAGGGUGCGCAGGCGGAAGAUCAAGUCAGCGGUAAAAUUGAGAGGCUCAACCUCUUCGAGCCGUUGAAACUGGUUGUCUUGAGUGAGCGAGAAGUAUGCGGAAUGCGUGGUGUAGCGGUGAAAUGCAUAGAUAUCACGCAGAACUCCGAUUGCGAAGGCAGCAUACCGGCGCUCAACUGACGCUCAGGCACGAAAGUGUGGGUAUCGAACAGGAUUAGAUACCCUUGUAGUC
rnacentral:rRNA from 1 species